GAGACCACUUUUUUGAAGUGACAUGUACCACACAAUUCACCCAUUUAAUUCUAUAUGUUAAUGAAAAAUCAAUUUGAGAAAUUUGGAGAGAUUAUUUUGCAGUCAUUAUUCUCCUUUGGGAAAAGCCAUCAUCUCUGUGGUGAAGCCUGAAGAUGGUCUUUGGGACCUGUGACCACCAUGACAGGUUAUGUGCUCAGGCAUUGGUGAUUUUAAGAUUGAUAAAAUAUAAAACUUUUGAGACAGUUUAACUUAUGAUAUCCUUAAAUUUUCUGUACCCCAUCUUUUCUCUUUUACAGAAAUCGUGACUCCACUCAACUACAGACAAACACAUUCCAAGGACUUAUAGAAAAAACAGGGAAAAUAAACAUGACAGAUUUCUCAUUACCUCACCUGUGGACUGGAAAGGAGCAAAUUCUUCAGUUCUCUUGAGAUCCUGACCUGAUGCACUGAUGACCCAUCUUGUGACCAGUGUUUGUCUCAUUAUCUUGGACCUUCUAUACAUGCUCCCUUUAUCCUGUGGAAGCUCUUGGCUUUGUCAUGACAGUGGCAGAGAAGAGUCAGAUGGAGGAAAUUAGGCAGGUAGCAACACCAAGAAGAUAAAAAGCGAGAAUCUAAGAAAGAGAGAAAUGCACCCCCGACAAUGAGGCUGUGGAGUCAUUCAUCAUUUUUAAAUUGUGAAAUUCGUCGGGAUCCAGCUGAGUGUCAAAGUAACUACU